rnacentral:lncRNA from 1 species
AUACAAGCUUGCAUCCCAUUCUCCAGCAUCCGCGGUCCAAAGAUCUCUUCCCAGCCGGUGAACAUCUCUUUGUUAUCUGAAUUCCCAACAUCUCAUAUGCAUACCAUUCUCAUCUCCUCCACGUUGAUUCUCCCACGCCCAGCUGAGAUCUCCUCAACAUCUUCAUCUCCACUGCGUCGAAGCAACAUCAGCCCAUUCUUCCGGAUUACUUCACACCUCUUCUACGCGAUUUGGCUUUAUCUUCCCGAGUUCACGGCAUCUAAACACAACCCCAAAAUCUCUCUCUGUUCGCAAGAUCAACUCCCAGCAAAUCUAACCUUAAUCCUCUUCCGAGAUCCUCCCAAACGGAACAAAGUUCUCCACAUCUUUCUUUGCUUCGGAAUUAAGUUCCAAAUUCGUCGAAACUUCUUCCACGUCUGCAGAUCAAGCAACCAGCCCUCAUCCCAUUCGUAAUCUUCUCUUCAAACCAAUUCCCCUGUUUCAGCCGUGAAGAGCAAAACUCCCAACAAAUGGCAACUAAUCAGCCGAUUCCUUCACAUCUCCUACUCCUAAAUCAUCUCCUCUUCAUCACGAAUCGAAACAACCGCUUCCCCCUCCACGGAUAAGCUCCCAGCCAUCAAAUCUUCUUCCGGAUUCCCCUGCUUCAGAACAGAAUGCUAACAGUCCACGUUCAUUCCAGACAACCGAGAUGAACCCAAUGAGUUCCAGUUUUCCUCCCAGCAUUUCUAGAAUUAUUCCAUAGAUUAUCUCCCGGAUAUCCUCUUCUGAUUCAAGCCAACCGUCAUCCCGUUCGCAGCUUCCAACAUCCACGAGAUAAACUUCAAAUCUCAACAUCCCGUUCCAUCUUCUUCUUCCACUCAUUCCCAGCAGUUCUUCAA